UUUAAGUGUGUGUUUUGGUCGUGAAUCGCAGGAGAGCCAGGGGGUUCCAUGCCCAAACCCUAGCCAGCAAAAAUCAAGCAAUUGAGAAGCCAAAUCGACUCCAAAUUGAAAUCUAAGCUUGGAUUAGUGAUCACUUCAGUGAAAGGAUCAUAAGUUUGUCGCCUAACGAGCUAGGUGGAGGCUUGGGAUAGAAGCGGUCAAACGAAUCAAGUACGAGAAGAAAAGCAUAUUCGGAUGCGAGGUACACUUUGGGAUGCCGGAAGACGAUCAAGCUCAACGAAGAACCGAACACACUAUAGAUACACGCUUCCGCACUUUGCUAUGUUGUAAAUUUUAAACAACGAAUUCAACUACGUGAUGUAGAAUAACUUAUGAUUUGUAAAAGUUUUAGUAAACCCGUAUUUUCGAUGUAUAUGUAAUUGUAAUUACAUGAUUGUUUUCGAAUAAGAUUCAUUAAACCUUAAAUUAACUUAACGGGUGU
rnacentral:lncRNA from 1 species